rnacentral:rRNA from 1 species
UACGUAGGAGGCGAGCGUUGUCCGGAAUUACUGGGCGUAAAGCGCGCGUAGGCGGGUUGGUAAGUCCGCUGUGAAAGCCCGGAGCUUAACUCCGGAGGGUCGGUGGAUACUGCCAGUCUUGAAGGUGCUAGGGGGAGAUGGAAUUACCGGUGUAGCGGUGAAAUGCGUAGAUAUCGGUAGGAACACCAGGUGGCGAAGGCGGUCUCCUGGGGCAUUCUUGACGCUGAGGCGCGGAAAGCUGGGGGGAGCAAACGGGG